rnacentral:rRNA from 1 species
UCGAGAAUCUUCGGCAAUGGGCGCAAGCCUGACCGAGCAAUGCCGCGUGCGGGAUGAAGGCCCUCGGGUUGUAAACCGCGAAAGUAAGGAGGAAGGCCCUGUGAAGAGCAGGGUUUGACCAAUUUACAGUAAGGACGGCCUAAGUUCGUGCCAGCAGCCGCGGUAAGACGAACCGUCCAAACGUUAUUCGGAAUUAUUGGGCUUAAAGGGUGCGUAGGCGGCGUGGUAAGUCAGGUGUGAAAUCCCACGGCUCAACCGUGGAACUGCGCUUGAUACUGCUGUGCUUGAGGGAGACAGAGGUAAGCGGAACUGAUGGUGGAGCGGUGAAAUGCGUUGAUAUCAUCAGGAACACCAGUGGCGAAAGCGGCUUACUGGGUCUCUUCUGACGCUGAGGCACGAAAGCUAGGGUAGCGAACGGGAUUAGAUACCCCCGUAGUCC